GUGUUCGCUUCAGCAGCACAUAUACUAAAAUUGGAACGAUACAGAGAAGACUAGCAAGUCCCUGUAUAAGGAUGACACACAGAUGUGUGAAGCACUCCCUAUUUUU
ensembl:snRNA U6 U6 spliceosomal RNA